UCUUCCUUGGUCUAGUGGUCAGGAUACCUGCUUGUCAUGGAAUAAUUCGCAGGUGGCCGGGGUUCGAUUCCCCGAGGGAGAG
rfam:Pseudallescheria apiosperma strain IHEM 14462 SEQ_SAPIO_0111, whole genome shotgun sequence.